rnacentral:lncRNA from 1 species
AAUAAAAAUACAACUUCAAGCUACAUAUACAUUUGACAGAGGUAAUGAACUGUCCAUUGAUCAGCACAGCAAUUGAUAAAACAGGACCAUGUUUGAAAUGAAAUUGAAAUUAAGUGAAUUUUACAAAAGGGAAGCAAAUGGUUUCAGAAAUCCUGAAUGCAGACAGGCUCUAUAGACCUCUAAGGGUUAGCUUACUACUAUAUCUGUUGAAGACAACGAUUCAGUACUACUACUCUGUUGAAGACAAAGGUUCAGUACUACUACUCUGUUAAAGACAACGGUUCAUUACUACUAUAUCUGUUGAAGACAACGAUUCAGUACUACUACUCUGUUGAAGACAACGAUUCUGUUGAAGACAAUUUUCUGUACUAUCUAUCUGCUGAAGUCAUUGACACCAGUUGUCUUCAAGAGAUGACGCUGAACUAUCCAUGCGGAUGGCCGACGUGCCAUCUGACGUAAGACCGUAGAAUACCUGUUAGCAGACAGCUCUGAGACAUGUUCUGUAUAGUUACUAAAUACAUGUUGGCAGACAGCUCUGAGACAUGUUCUGUAUAGUUACUAAAUACAUGUUGGCAGACAGCUCUGAGACAUGUUCUGUAUAGUUACUAAAUACAUGUUAGCAGACAGCUCCGAGACAUGUUCUGUAUAGUUACUAAAUACAUGUUGGCAGACAGCUCUGAGACAUGUUCUGUAUAGUUACUAAAUACAUGUUAGCAGACAGCUCCGAGACAUGUUCUGUAUAGUUACUAAAUACAUGUUGACAGACAGCUCCGAGACAUGUUCUGUAUAGUUACUAAAUACAUGUUGACAGACAGCUCUGAGACAUGUUGUUCUGUAUAGUUACUAAAUACAUGUUGACAGACAGCUCUGAGACAUGUUGUUCUGUAUAGUUACUAAAUACAUGUUGGCAGACAGCUCUGAGACAUGUUGUUCUGUAUAGUUACUAAAUACAUGUUGGCAGACAGCUCUGAGACAUGUUCUGUAUAGUGUACACAGUGGUGGUAAUCAAGAUAGCUGACAUUUUCCAGACCAGGCUAGAAGAACAUGUUUGUCUUUUCAAAUAUCCCAUGGCCCAGAUUUUUGGAUGCAGGCCAGUAGGAAUUGUGGUAUAGAAGUCCUUUAAAAAAAUUCAUUAAGUUCCAUCCCUGAGUGUUCAUAUUUGGUGAUAUUCAUAUUUGUAUGUCAUUUUUGUGUCAAAAUAAACAAAGCUUUCUAAUUAAUCACCACACAAACUGACAGGCGUUUGUAGAGUCAUUUUAUUAGAAAACCCCUGCACAGUGAGACAGCGCUAAUGCAAGCAGAGGUACGGCAUCUCACUGCUACUCGACAUGGUCCUCUUCAGCCACCU